CAGCGCGGGGGCAACCCUGGCGGCGAGCGGCGAACGGGUGAGUAAUGCAUCGGAACGUGUCCCGUAGUGGGGGAUAACCCAGCGAAAGCUGGGCUAAUACCGCAUAUGCUCUACGGAGGAAAGUGGGGGACCGCAAGGCCUCACGCUAUGGGAGCGGCCGAUGUCCGAUUAGCUAGUUGGUGGGGUAAUGGCCUACCAAGGCGACGAUCGGUAGCUGGUCUGAGAGGAUGAUCAGCCACACUGGGACUGAGACACGGCCCAGACUCCUACGGGAGGCAGCAGUAGGACUCCUACGGGAGGCAGCAGUGGGAAAUUCUAGAAAUCUCCUACAUAUAUCAG
rnacentral:sRNA from 1 species